UUUUGACUUCACUUUCCUUUUUCAGACUUUCCUUUUCACGUUUCUCUUUUCAGCAGAAGAAUUGGCUGACUAAAGGUUCCGAUACAAGCUGAAGAACUAAAGGUUUGAAGUGAAGAGAGGUGAAGAUAGCUGAAGAAGUAGUUCUCUUUUCUGAUACAAGCUAAAGAUUCGAUGAACUGAGCUGACGAGUUGAACGAUUCCUUGAAGAGUAAGAACGAUUUCUUUAAGAAAGAAAUGAAUAUUGUUGGGUUGUUGACAUGAUGAUGAACUGAAGCUAAUUAGUCUCUCCGUCACACUUUUCUCUCAAGCGUCUCACUGAAGAACACGAUUUCAAAGAGAUUUUGUUGGAUUUGGGUUUAUCAGAUUUGUUUACUAGAGGAAUUGAUAUUCAAGCAGUUAACGUUGUUAUCAAUUCUGAUUUUCCUAAGAACUCAGAAACGUAUUUGCACAGGGUUGGACGAUCAGGGAGAUUUGUGAAGCUUGGUUUAGCUGUUAGCCUGGUUACUUUUGAGGAUCACUUCACUUUAACCAAAAUCAACAUUCAAAAACAUUUGUGGAGGAUUCAAAGUUUGAUUUGACAUAACACAAGUGUCAUGACUAUGUAAGAAACUAUUAUCAUCUCAUGACACCUGAUUUUUGUAACUUAAUCAUGAAUUUAAUGAUUCUUAUUGAAAUAUCAAAUAUUUAUAUCUUCUU